UACGUAGGGUGCGAGCGUUGUCCGGAAUUAUUGGGCGUAAAGAGCUCGUAGGCGGUCUGUCGCGUCUGCUGUGAAAUCCCGAGGCUCAACCUCGGGCUUGCAGUGGGUACGGGCAGGCUAGAGUGCGGUAGGGGUGACUGGAAUUCCUGGUGUAGCGGUGGAAUGCGCAGAUAUCAGGAGGAACACCGAUGGCGAAGGCAGGUCACUGGGCCGCAACUGACGCUGAGGAGCGAAAGCAUGGGGAGCGAACAGG
rnacentral:rRNA from 1 species